rnacentral:rRNA from 1 species
CUACGGGUGGCUGCAGUGAGGAAUAUUGCACAAUGGGGGAAACCCUGAUGCAGCAACGCCGCGUGGAGGAUGACGCAUUUCGGUGUGUAAACUCCUUUUAUCAGAGAAGAUAAUGACGGUAUCUGAUGAAUAAGCCCCGGCUAACUCCGUGCCAGCAGCCGCGGUAAUACGGAGGGAGCAAGCGUUACUCGGAAUCACUGGGCGUAAAGGACGCGUAGGCGGGUUGGUCAGUCAGGUGUGAAAUCCAACGGCUUAACCGGUGAACUGCACUUGAAACUACCAACCUAGAGUAUGGAAGGGGCAGAUGGAAUUAGUGGUGUAGGGGUAAAAUCCGUAGAUAUCACUAGGAAUACCGAAAGCGAAAGCGAUCUGCUGGGACAUUACUGACGCUGAGGCGUGAAAGCGUGGGGAGCAAACAGGAUUAGAUACCCUCGUAGUC